rnacentral:tRNA from 1 species
AAAAAUUUAGUUAAAUAAUAACGUUAGUUUGUCAAACUAGAGUUACCUUAUGGUAAUUUUUU